rnacentral:rRNA from 1 species
UACAGAGGGGGCAAGCGUUGUUCGGAAUUACUGGGCGUAAAGGGCGCGUAGGCGGCCUUCUAAGUCGAACGUGAAAUCCCUGGGCUCAACCCAGGAACUGCGUCCGAUACUGGAAGGCUUGAAUCCGGGAGAGGGAUGCGGAAUUCCAGGUGUAGCGGUGAAAUGCGUAGAUAUCUGGAGGAACACCGGUGGCGAAGGCGGCAUCCUGGACCGGCAUUGACGCUGAGGCGCGAAAGCCAGGGGAGCAAACCGG